rnacentral:rRNA from 1 species
CCUACGGGGAGCAGCAGUGAGGAAUAUUGGGCAAUGGACGAGAGUCUGAACCAGCCAAGUAGCGUGAAGGAUGACUGCCCUAUGGGUUGUAAACUUCUUUUAUAAAGGAAUAAAACGAGGCACGUGUGCCUUUUUGCAUGUACUUUAUGAAUUAGGAUCGGCUAACUCCGUGCCAGCCGCCGCGGUAAUACGGAGGUUCCGAGCGUUAUCCGGAUUGAUUGGGUUUAAAGUGAGCGUAGAUGGGUUGUUAAGUCAGUUGUGAAAGUUUGCGGCUCAACCGUAAAAUUGCAAUUGAUACUGGCAGUCUUGAGUACAGUUGAGGUAGGCGGAAUUCGUGGUGUAGCGGUGAAAUGCUUAGAUAUCACGAAGAACCCCGAUUGCGAAGGCAGCUUACUAAACUGUGACUGACAUUGAUGCUCGAAAGUGUGGGUAUCAAACAGGAUUAGAUACCCCAGUAGUC